UACGGGGGGAGCAAGCGUUGUUCGGAUUUACUGGGCGGAAAGGGCGCGUAGGCGGCCACCGCAAGUCGAUUGUGAAAUCUCCGGGCUUAACCCGGAAAGGUCAACCGAUACUGCGGGGCUAGAGUGCAGAAGGGGCAACUGGAAUUCUCGGUGUAGCGGUGAAAUGCGUAGAUAUCGAGAGGAACACCUGCGGCGAAGGCGGGUUGCUGGGCUGACACUGACGCUGAAGUGCGAAAGCUAGGGGAGCGAACGGG
rnacentral:rRNA from 1 species